rnacentral:rRNA from 1 species
UCUAGCAAUAGAUGAGACCGGCGCACGGGUGCGUAACGCGUAUGCAAUCUACCUUUUACAGAGGGAUAGCCCAGAGAAAUUUGGAUUAAUACCUCAUAGUAUAACGACUCGGCAUCGAGAUGUUAUUAAAGUUCCAACGGUAAAAGAUGAGCAUGCGUCCCAUUAGCUAGUUGGUGUGGUAACGGCACACCAAGGCAACGAUGGGUAGGGGUCCUGAGAGGGAGAUCCCCCACACUGGUACUGAGACACGGACCAGACUCCUACGGGAGGCAGCAGUGAGGAAUAUUGGUCAAUGGGCGCAAGCCUGAACCAGCCAUGCCGCGUGCAGGAUGACGGUCCUAUGGAUUGUAAACUGCUUUUGUACAGGAAGAAACACUCCCUCGUGAGGGAGCUUGACGGUACUGUAAGAAUAAGGAUCGGCUAACUCCGUGCCAGCAGCCGCGGUAAUACGGAGGAUCCAAGCGUUAUCCGGAAUCAUUGGGUUUAAAGGGUCCGUAAGCGGGUUUAUAAGUCAGUGGUGAAAGCCCAUCGCUCAACGAUGGAACGGCCAUUGAUACUGGAGAUCUUGAAUUAUUAGGA